CGAUUAUAAAGAUCCAGUUUGAUGCUGUGUUUGACUCUAGAAAUUACAGAUCGGCGACUGGGCUGGUGGUUUGGGGAAAAACGAACGAAUAUUUGGCUUCAAAAUCAUUCAUUUAUUAUGAUAUUGCUUCUCCAUUUGUAGCAGAAGCAUAUGCGAGUUUAGAAGCAGUUAAGUUAGGAAUCGAGAUAGGCUUCCAGGAGAUACAAAUACAGGGAGAUUCAUUAACAGUAGUAAAGAAAUGUCAGUUAACCACAAUCGAUUAUUCAGUUAUUGAAGCAAUUAUCAAAGAUAUUCAGGCUAAGAAAUUGAGCUUUCAGAAGAUAGAGUUCAAGCACAUUCCGAAAAUGAAGAACACGAGUGGUCACAACAUUGCGAAGACAACAUUAAAGAGAAGUGAAAGAACUUACCUGGAGGAUGGAGAGUUGAACCGCCAGAAUGGGGGGGUAACAGAACUAUGGGCAAGAAAUCCAGAUUGAAAAGAUAAGGGAAGAUUCUGAUGUACAAGUAGAUAGCAAAGAGAGCAAAUUUUGGGAAGAGCUAUCGUCAGACGGAUGGAAGUGAUGGGAUAGGUGAUUUGAAAAGACGAGAAGAUAAUGACUUCCAACCGUUGAAAGUUUGACAAAGGGUAAUUUAAGAGUCUUUUUUUUAGGCAGCUUUUUAGUAAUGGCUGUUUCAAUUUUAUUUUUUCAUUUCUUUUCUUUAAGGUUUAAUAGUUCCCUUUUAAUAUGAAGUAGGCUUGGUCUGAUUUGCUGUUGGGCUUGUUAAAACAAGCCUGAAUACUUUGUUUCUUUAAUUUUUCAAAUAAAUACCCAG
rnacentral:lncRNA from 1 species